UACGUAGGGGGCAAGCGUUGUCCGGAUUUAUUGGGCGUAAAGAGCUCGUAGGUGGUUUGGUAAGUCGGAUGUGAAAUCUCCAGGCUCAACCUGGAGGGGUCAUUCGAUACUGCCAUGACUAGAGGUCGGUAGGGGAGUGUGGAAUUCCUGGUGGAGCGGUGAAAUGCGCAGAUAUCAGGAGGAACACCAAAGGCGAAGGCAGCGUCCUGGCAAGUCACUGACGCUCAGGUGCGAAAGCUAGGGGAGCGAACGGG
rnacentral:rRNA from 1 species